UACGUAGGGACCGAGCGUUGUCCGGAAUCAUUGGGCGUAAAGAGCGUGUAGGCGGCCCCUUAAGUCCUGCGUGAAAUCCUGCGGCUCAACCGCAGACGGUCGUGGGAAACUGGAGGGCUAGAGUGCGGGAGAGGAGAGUGGAAUUCCCGGUGUAGCGGUGAAAUGCGCAGAUAUCGGGAAGAACACCCGUGGCGAAGGCGGCUCUCGUGGAACGCAACUGACGCUGAGACGCGAAAGCGUGGGGAGCAACAGG
rnacentral:rRNA from 1 species